CCUAUUAAGGGAGGAACAAGGACCAUGAAAGCCUGCUCUUAUGAGCUUUCCAACUUGAUUUUUACACCAAGGAGGAGAAUCCGCUGCCACAAUCCUGCACUCCUAGGUCUAGGGUAAAGAGCACCCAUUGCUGCAACCUCCUAAGCCAAGAGAAGAAGAAAGGGAAUCCACUCCGAGGCAGAGAAAGAAGACAACAAAAACAAUCACAAUAUUAUUUCUUAGGAAAGAUGUAGUCAGUGCAGCAGAUCUGAGGACUGCCUGAAGGGGAAACCAGUGAGACCUGGCUGGAGGUUUGAAUCCCGAAGCAGCCAUACUGUGACUCCAUGAGUCGGAGGAGAGCUGCAAUGAUGGAAGAUCAGAAAGGGGGAGCUGAACCAGGCAGAGCUAAUCGACAGAAGGAGGCACCACCCUGUGGUGAGAAGUAAGAAGAAAUUGUGUUACGUAUCAAGAACAGAAGCAGAUUAUCAUCCAUUGUAGCCAUUUCCAGACUAAUAUGAAUCCUGUCUCCAGAUCUGAUGAUGCAAGUUAGUCUCUCAACUGAGAUUUCACUAAGGUACAUGUGGGCAAUUGAACAGCACAAUAUAUGUUUGUUUAUCAUAUGGGGAUCAUUACAAGGGUUAU